rnacentral:rRNA from 1 species
UGAACGCUGGCGGCGUGCCUAAUACAUGCAAGUCGAACGCACAGCGAAAGGUGCUUGCACCUUUCAAGUGAGUGGCGAACGGGUGAGUAACACGUGGACAACCUGCCUCAAGGCUGGGGAUAACAUUUGGAAACAGAUGCUAAUACCGAAUAAAACUCAGUGUCGCAUGACACAAAGUUAAAAGGCGCUUUGGCGUCACCUAGAGAUGGAUCCGCGGUGCAUUAGUUAGUUGGUGGGGUAAAGGCCUACCAAGACAAUGAUGCAUAGCCGAGUUGAGAGACUGAUCGGCCACAUUGGGACUGAGACACGGCCCAAACUCCUACGGGAGGCUGCAGUAGGGAAUCUUCCACAAUGGGCGAAAGCCUGAUGGAGCAACGCCGCGUGUGUGAUGAAGGCUUUCGGGUCGUAAAGCACUGUUGUAUGGGAAGAACAGCUAGAAUAGGGAAUGAUUUUAGUUGACGGUACCAU